AACCCGGGUCACAGCAGUGGCAACACUGGAUCUUUAACUGCCAGGCCAUCAAGAACUCUGCAGUUGUAACAUUUUGAACUCUUUAAAAUUGCUACCCGCCCUCCAAGUCUACCCUGAACGUGUGAUUUCUCUUACCUUGGUCUAGUGUUUUUGCUCCAGCACCUUCUAUUCUUCGUAGCUUACACAUUUAUUGCUUUUAUUGUCUCUUUCCCCCCCCCCCCCCCCCGUGCUGGAACCAGUGCUCCAUGGAGGCAGGGUUUUUCCCCUCCUGUCUGAUUGCUGACAUGCUCCAAAUGUCUGGAAACAGCACCUGACAUUGGGUGGGUGCUCACUGAGUAUCUGUCAAGUGAAUGAAUGGACGAAAGCACCCAGGAAGAGCUUGGCUUGUCUGUCUUUGAGGAUCCGCGCGCGCAAUAGAUGUCUGAGGACGUGGUCCCCUGGGAGGUGCCCGCCCAGUCUGGCCACCUGCCCUUGACCCCAGAGGAAGGGCGACGCUGGUAGUGCCCAUUGCUCAGAUACAGGAAGGCUUUCUAGAACUUUGGGCAGGACAGUGAGGACCCUGGGAGAACGACCAGGUAGUGAGUAGAGCUGCCUGCAGCUAAGGAUUCUGAAGCCUGUGGUCCGACCGCAUUCCUGAACCUCUCCCCUCCCCCUCCUGUCCCCACAGCUUGGACCCCACCCUCUGGGCUUGAGAGGUAGAAAAAUGCUGGAUUGAGCAAUUGGGGCCGAGAUGAGAUCCCGGUUUACUCAGCCUCUCUCUUCUUGUCUAGUAGCUGGUGCCCGACCCACAGAAUUAAUCCAGGUUGUCCUGGCCAGCUCCACACCUGGAGCCAGGCGUGUCCCAUUACUCAGGGUCAAGUCCAGACCCCACCUCUCAGCCUGGUGCUUGGGCCCAGCCUAGACCUCUGUCAGCAGCUCCCCACCCCCGGCCCCUGCCAUGCAAUCCUUAGCUGUGCUCAGCAAGUCCAUUUCCAGUCUUGGCUCCCUUUUGCCCAUGACCUGGAUGUGACCUGACCCAUAUCCAGGUGCCCUCUUGGCAUCCUUAACCCACUGAGCGAGGCCAGGGAUCGAACCCACAACCUCAUGGUACUUAGUAGGAUUCAUUAACCACUGAGCCAUGACGUGAACUCCAAUGAUAUAUUUUUAAUUUUUAAUUUUGGCUGUGCCCAGGGCAUAUAGAAGUUCCCAGGCCAGGGAUCGAACCCAUACCACAGCAGUGACCCGAGCUGCUGCAUUGACAACCCUGCAUCCUUAACCUGCUGCAACCACAAGGGAACUCCUAUUUGGAGAAAGAUGGUGAGUAGGUUUGGAUUCAGGAUGUGGCAUUGUCACCUAAGGCCUCUGAGAAGACCUGGUUUAAUCCACACUUGACAGCAGAAUCCCCUUUUCAGGUGGUCAUUCAACACAUCGAAGCUCAGAGAGUUCAUGGUAUAGUGGAGAGGAUCCUGGCUUGGAACUCGGGGGAAGUGGGUUCUGAGGUUGCCACCUCCUGGUGUUGAGACUUCCAGCCUGUCUCACUUCACUUCCGGGCAUCCUCCUCUCCAAACCGAGGACAUUAACUGGCUUCCCGAUUCCACAGCUCAGUGACGUCAUGCCCAAGGAUACAUCACCGUUAUCUGUGAAAACGCUCCUGCAUCUGGGGAAGGCAGGUGCCCUUGUGUCAGUGCCUGGGAUGUCAGCCCACCCCAGUGGCUCUGAAAGCUCAGGACAGGUAGGGCCGGCGUGAUGGAGUGGGAAAGAGGACCGAGGUUCUUAGGCACAUGGAACUUCCGUAAAGUUGGCUGACUUGGAAGAGCCCGGCGUCGGAAGCCUGGCAUCAGAAUUGUACGGGACCGCUUGGAGGAGCCGUCCUCCUUUGCCACGGGUCGUGUGAUGCUAUCGUGUCUCCGCCGGGUGUUUGGGGAGGUGCAGGGAUCUGUCCCUAAUGAUUCUGGUGUUUCCAGAAGAUUGACUAGUGCGUGUCGGUCAGAGCAACCUCACAGUUAUCCUGAUCACAGCACACGCCCCCUCGCCUCGCAGUCCGGGAGGUGGUCUCUCCUCGGUGUCUCUGCUGCACCCGUAAGAGCCUCUGUCUUACUGGAAGGAAUAGCACACACGUGGUCGAAAACAAAAUCACGCCGUCCUGAAGGUUGAGAGUAUGAAGCAGCACGCACACGGCUUUCCACUCCCCUCUCCAGCCGCAUCGUAUGUUUAGUUCUCCUGACACUUGCUUCCACAGUUUUCGAGAAAAUGCUUAGAUGUUGUUUCGUGGUUUGCUAAAGUUAACACUAUCUCUUGGUUUCCUGUUAUGGAAGGUGAGGGGCUGUUUCUGCCAUGCCAACCUUGCUCCCCAAAUGUGGCAGUUUUUGUGCUUUUAUCGUAUCAGUGAGACCUUCAUGACGUGGCGGGGGGUGGCGGGGGAGCUGCCGCUGGGAACUUAUACCCGGGCUUUGGAAGGACCUGGUUCAAACCAAGGGUGGAAUUGAACAGCCCUCUGAAACUCAUGGUCUUUAAAGACUUUUCUUUUUCUUUUCUUUACUUUUUAAAACUGUUGUCUUUCUGUGAACCCGUGGGAGAAAUCGCUUUAGGUGUUAGGGCAAGAAUGGGGCUGCCCCUGAGCAGGUGGCUUAUUUAGUCUUAAGGACACGGGGGACCCUUUACCCUGCACAUUUCCCUCGCUCUAUGCUCUGGCUGCAAAGCUCCGUGCCAGAUUUGGGGCCCCCUCUCGUGCCGGGAGGUGGAACCGGAGGGGUCCUUGACCCCAGCCAGACCUCAUCUGGUGUGUGCCCCUCUUUUCUCUGGGUCUUUGCUCUGGAUCGGGAAAGACGCGGCGUGGGGACUUUAAUUCUCUUCCCUCCGUCCUCCCAGCCCCUCUGCGCUCUGAAAUCAGACCUGCUGAACUUGACCCCCUUUUCCUGGGGUUCGUGCCCACACCGUGCUCCGCCCUCCCCCCUCCUCCCAGAAUGGGAAGCAGCCACUCCAGAAAUAGGACGCGUGGCAGCCUGCCCCGUGUCUUUAAGGGUGAUUUAUUCCUCUGUUAGAGACACCGGGCUGUGUGAGGAUUUACCUCGAGUCCCUUCAGUGCUCCGGGCUGAGCCUUGUAAAAAGAUGCUCAGCAAUUAGAGCCGAGCGGAGCCGCCUUCGGCCGGGGCCUGUACAGGCUUUGACGAGAGUCGGCCAGAGGCCAGGGAGCCUCAUGUUGGCACGUUUGGCUCCCCUUUUCCUGAACCCUCAUCGCCUCGACUUAGGGGCUCAGAGUAACCAGACUGUCAGAGGCAGGAAGAUUGCCAGCAGCCGGGCUGCCUGGGGGUCUUAUACCCACCCCUUCAUCCUCCUUCCCUGCAGCUAUGCUGGCUCAGUGAUUUAGCCCCCCACCCCCCACCCUUUUUAGAGCAGUGUAGACCUUUCCCCUCUUUCAUAUACUGAACUUGUUCCUGGUGGGGUUGCACUUGACAGUGAGGUGGAGGGGUCUGUUCUGGUUGAAGCCCCCAGCAGCCCUCCUGCCGAGCAGACUUGUCUGCUCCUGAUACAGCCCACCGGGAUUUUAUUCCCUCUCUCCUGUGCAGCACACCCCCUAAUAGGCGGAUGCAUUGCUUUAUUUUCAAUUCCUUUCUCCAUAAAGGAUUCUUAGAGACCUGUGGAUUUCAGAACUGAGAGGGCCUCAGAAUUCGGUCCUGCUUCCAUUUCUGUGCAAUAAAGGGGCCCUCAGAGUUCCCUCUGUGGCGCAUUGGGUUAAGAACCUGACUGCAUUGGCUUGGUCACUGCGGAGUCUCUGAUUUGAUUGCUGGCUUAGCAUGAUGGGUUAAAGGAUCUGGCAUUGCUGCAACUGAGGUGCAGGGCACAAGCUGCGGCUCAGAUUCAGUCCCUAGUCCAGGAACCUCCAUAUGCUGUGGGUGUAGCCAUUGGGGGAAAAAAAAAAAGGCCCUUAUUUCUGAGCUCAGAGGUGCCAGGCUGGCUGCCUUCUGAGAUCUUAAGGUUUAGUUCUCUUAACAAUGAUGGAAUUAACUGUUUGAGGGAACUCUUCAGAAAGGCUUCAUUUGUUCAUUCAUUCAUUCAUUCAUUCAUCCAUUCAUCAUGGUUCAGCAAACCUAUAUUGAAUUUCUUCAGUGUGUAAGGCAUGUCAGCUGGGUGCUGUGGGCAGUGUAGACACCCAGUGGGAACACGUGGCCCUCUGCGUCCCAGGAGCCGACAAGCCCCUUGCCAAGCUGGGACACGCACCUGCCGUGCUCCAGCAUAAACCUUUUCUGGCUAGUGAUGCUGAGGGCCUGGUGGUGAUGAGAGCGGCUCAGAAACCAGCCUGGUCCACUCCUCUAUCGGGGACCGCACCUUCCGGGAGAGGGCUGCCUGCUGAGCAGGACUGGGGCAGUCUGUGUGUCCAGGCCUCCGGGGAGGCCAGGCCCAGCUCACUCUGACAUCUGGGCGGGUGGGAGGCCUCCUCGCUCUGCAGUCUCCUCCUCUGAUGGACUUGGCUUUUUGGAUUUUCCCCACGUACACCUGAGCCUCUUGAUUGACUCUGAGACUAAGCAGGAGCCACCGCUGUUCCCUUUGUUGAGCAGGGAGGGAAAAAAAAAAAAAAAA
rnacentral:lncRNA from 1 species